rnacentral:rRNA from 1 species
GAGCGGUAGAGAGAAGCUUGCUUCUCUUGAGAGCGGCGGACGGGUGAGUAAUGCCUAGGAAUCUGCCUGGUAGUGGGGGAUAACGUUCGGAAACGGACGCUAAUACCGCAUACGUCCUACGGGAGAAAGCAGGGGACCUUCGGGCCUUGCGCUACCAGAUGAGCCUAGGUCGGAUUAGCUAGUUGGUGGGGUAAUGGCUCACCAAGGCGACGAUCCGUAACUGGUCUGAGAGGAUGAUCAGUCACACUGGAACUGAGACACGGUCCAGACUCCUACGGGAGGCAGCAGUGGGGAAUAUUGGACAAUGGGCGAAAGCCUGAUCCAGCCAUGCCGCGUGUGUGAAGAAGGUCUUCGGAUUGUAAAGCACUUUAAGUUGGGAGGAAGGGUUGUAGAUUAAUACUCUGCAAUUUUGACGUUACCGACAGAAUAAGCACCGGCUAACUCUGUG